GGUCCCUUCGUCUAACGGUUAGGACGAAAGAUUCUCAGUCUUUAAAUAGGGGUUCGAUUCCCCUAGGGACUA
rnacentral:tRNA from 1 species